rnacentral:tRNA from 1 species
GGGCCGGUAGCUUAGCCUGGUAGAGCACUUGACUUUUAAUCAAGGGGUCGCGAGUUCGAAUCUCGUCCGGCCCA